UGUACCACUACCUACACCAGUAUGGCUGAAAGAUACUAUUCGAUCACUACUGAACUCAUGGUUUUCCAUUGCAGCUGAUUUUAGAGUUUUAUUACUGUAGAAUGAAAAACUGGAAUAAGAAGAUGAAAAUCCGUUUUCAAGGCAGUCAAAUGAAUCUACUUACGCUGAAGGAAUAGCCAGCAUUUCAUUGUGAGGAAGCUGCUCUCGAUGGAUGACUAGUCUUAGAGGUGUACAAGUAAAUCCUUGAGUGUCUCGAAGUUUCCUGAGAUCACGCCAACAUGAGAGUAAAGACAGAAGAAGUUGACGGCUUCGGAAACCUUCCAAUAGGAUAUAUUCAACUUGAAGACACUUUGCACCUUGAGAGCGGCUUGGAGGUCGGUAUGGUGCUGAUCUCAAAGGAUCAGGCAUUGUAUUCAAUUCCCCAUCAUCUCCAAACCAAUGCCUAAACAAGACAUGGCCAUUUAAGUAGCAAUUUAACAAUCUCUUUUCCAGACGAUGAAUAUUACUUGUACGUACUUUUGGGCGAUGACCAACAAAGAGUCCUUCUUCUUCACGAAACCUGACUUCUUUCCCAGAACCUAACCGAUCUUCUAAUGAUACUGCAGUCACGAAAAACAUCAAGCAAAAGAACCGAGAAAACAAAGAUAAAAAUCAAAGAAGCCACACAAAUUUUCAUUCAAGGUAAAUAUUUUUCACAUAUAUAUUCAACCGCCAUAUACCUUCAC